rnacentral:rRNA from 1 species
ACUUCACCAGGCCCAGGAGCUGGUAUCAGGCACAACCCAUUGCCCACAACACCUAGUCUCACCACACCCCCAAGGGUAACCAGCAGUGAUAAACUUUGCGCAUAAGCGACAGCUUGACUCAGCUAGAGAAAAGAGAGCCGGCUAACCCGGUGCCAGCCGCCGCGGCUAUACCAUGGGGGCUCAAGUUGAUAACCACCGGCGUUAAGCGUGAUUAAAGCUUACAUAAGUUAGGGUUAAACCAAUACUUAGUAGUGAUAAGCUUGUUAUUGAGAAAACCAUAAACGAAAGUUACCCUAAUUAUACUUGAAUACACGACAGCUGGGAAGCAAACUAGGAUUAGAUACCCUACUAUGCUCAGCCGUAAACAAUUAAUUUACACCAAUCAGCGCCAGGGAAUUACGAGCCAUGCUUAAAACCCAAAGGACUUGACGGUGUCCCACCCCCCUAGAGGAGCCUGUUCUAUAAUCGAUAAUCCCCGCUAUACCCUACCAUUCCUCGCCUCAGUCUGUAUACCUCCGUCGAAAGCCUACCCUGUGAACGUCCAGUAAGCCCAAUGCCUCAACACGUCAGGUCAAGGUGCAGCUCACGGAAUGGAAAGUAAUGGGCUACAAUUUCUAACAUAGAACAAACGAAAGGCCAUGUGAAACCAUAGUCACGAAGGUGGAUCUAGCAGUAAAAAGAAAAUAGAGUGUCUUAUCCGCCUGACCGUGG